GAUGAACGCUAGCGGCAGGCCUAAUACAUGCAAGUCGAACGCUCAGUAGCAAUACUGGGAGUGGCGCACGGGUGCGUAACGCGUACACAAUCUACCUCUAAGCGGGGGACACCUCCUGGAAACGGGGAUUAAUACCGCAUAAUAUGCCGAAGUCGCAUGACUUUGGUAUUAAAGCAGCAAUGCACUUAGAGAUGAGUGUGCGUCCCAUUAGGUAGUUGGUGAGGUAACGGCUCACCAAGCCUAUGAUGGGUAGCCGGUCUGAGAGGAUGGUCGGCCACACGGGCACUGAGACACGGGCCCGACUCCUACGGGAGGCAGCAGUAAGGAUAUUGGUCAAUGGUGGAAACACUGAACCAGCCAUGCCGCGUGGAGGAAUAAAGGUCCUACGGAUUGUAAACUCCUUUUG
rnacentral:rRNA from 1 species